rnacentral:piRNA from 1 species
UGAGGGUUUGUCUGCCUUGAAGGACAAUGC